CUUCAAGUGAUCCUCCUGCCUCAGCCUCUCAGACCACUGGGAUCACAAGUGUGAGCCACUGGGCCCAGCUGGGUCUUGUCGUUUGGCAACAACAUUCGUUCCCAGCCCCUGCCAUGCUGUCCCCUGAGUGGCAAGGGCUGUUGCCAUAUUUCCCAGUGAAAUGCCCUGGUAAGAUCUGGAGGGCAGGAGGCAGGCAGAAGCCAUUCAUCCGUGGUUGGCAGUAGCUGGUGAGGGGGCGAAUUCAGCCCUGCCCGGCCACUUUGGGAGGCCAAGACAGGUGGAUCACCUGAGGUCGGGAGUUCAAGACCAGCCUUACCAACAUGGAUAAUCCCCAUCUCUACUAAAAAAUACAAAAUUAGCCAGGCAUGGUGGCGCAUGCCUGUAAGGUGGGCACUGAGCUGGAACAUGGUCUGGACUGCACAGAGCUUGGUAUCCCCAAGGGCAUCAGGUGGUAGAGGGUGCUAAGGGAUCUAGAUGGGGCCCUACAGGACCAGCCCUUCCUUCCCAGGAAACAGAAGGACCAAGACGACCAAUCCUCUGAGAAUACACGCCACAGCCUGGGCCUCCCCUUGCCCCAGGUAACAGCAACCAAGAAUCCCAGGAAUGGAGGCUUUGGCUCUUCCUCCAGCCGGGGAAGACCUGCUGCUUCUGCUUUGAAAUCCCUGGACCUCAGAGGAAGGGCUGUAACCAGACAUUAUGACAGGCGACUCUGGCAUGAAGGUAGGAGGCAGGGUGGCCAAGCAUCCCCAUGUGGCCAGGGUGUCACCAUAGACUUUGAAUGUGGACAAAUAUCCUUUGUUUACUGCAAGUGACAUUGGUGUGUGUCUGGUCUCCAGUCUUGCUCAGCACCUGAAAAAAUUCACCACAUAGUGAGCAACAUAGCAAGACCCUGUUUCUAUUUUAUUUUAUUAAUUAAUUAAUUAAUUUAUUUAUUUAUUUUUAUUUUUUUGAGAUGGAGUCCCACUCUGUCCCCCAGGCUGGAGUGCAGUGGCGCAAUCUCAGCUCACUGCAACCUCCACCUCCCAGGUUCAAGCGAUUCUCCUGCCUCAGCCUCUUGAGUAGCUGGGAUUACAGGCGCCCGCCAGCACGCCCAGCUAGUUUUUGUAUUUUUAUUUUUUUAUUUUUGUUUAUUUACUUGUUUUAGAGACGGAAUCUCGCUCUGUCGCCCAGGUUGGAGUGCACUGGUGAGAUCUCUGCUCACUGCUCCGCCUCCCAGGUUCAAGGGAUUCUCCCACCUCAGCCUCCCGAGUAGCUGGGAUUACAGGCACCUGCUACCACACCUGACUCAUUUUGUAUUUUUAGCGGAGAUGGGGUUUCACCAUGUUGGCCAAGCUGGUCUCGAACUCCUGACCUCAGGCUAUCCACCUGCCUUGGCCUUCCACAGUGUUGGGAUUACAGGCGUAAGCCACUGCGCCUGGCUGAUUUUUGUAGUUUUAGCGGAGAUGGGUUUUCACAAUGUCGGCCAGGCUGGUCUCGAACUCCUGACCUCAAGUGAUCUGCCCACCUCGGCCUCCCAAAGCGCUGGGAUUACAGGCGUGAGUAGCUGUACAUGCUGGCUCGUAUGUCGCAGGUCUCAUUAGCUUCUUAAAUCUCCACCCGGGGUGCGCUUUUUACUAUUAUAAUGAGCAAAGGGUCAGUUUGAGGAUAGGUAAAAUCAAAAUGCGCAUGCUCUCUAGAAAGAAAAGUCCCCACUGAAGAUAGCUUUGCUUGAAUGAGCUCAAUUACAAUUCGAAUGCUGAGGCUUAUUGUGUUGACUGUGCGGUCACCACGCUUGCUGCAUCCCAAGAACACGGUCACUUCCUUGAUUACCUAUCCUGUUUCAGUACCGCCCUUUGGAAAUACGUGCAUGUCACAUUUUGAAAAAUACUGGCUGAGAUGAAAAUGGAAAACGCAGCUGGAACAGUUGCAUCUAAUCUGGAUCAAAUGGCAAGCUUGUUCCUUCCUUUUCUUUCUUUCCUUUUGAGAUAUGUCAAACAUUAAAACUGCAGAAAACAGAAAGAUAUGGCCUAAAGAAGAGUUACAGAAUUGAACGCCAAAGUAAUACCACUCAGAUCAAGAAAUUGACUACAGCCAGGAUCUCCCCAUAUGUACCCUGCCCCCCAUUCAAACCCCACUUCUUCCUUCCCCACCAAAGGGAACCAUUGACUUUGUUUUUUGAGACAGAGUCUUGCUCCGUAGCCCAGGAUGGAGUGCAGUGGGGCAAUCACGGCUCACUGCAGCCUUAACCUCCUGGGCCCAAGAGAUUCUUCCACCUCAGCCUCCCGAGUAGUGGGGACUACAGGUGUGUGCCACCUUGCCCAUUUAAUUUUUGCAUUUUUGGUAGAGAUGGGGUUUCACCAUGUUGCCCAGGCUGGUCUGGAAGUCCUGGGCUUAAGCCUCUCCUCCCAAAGUGCUGUGAUUACAGGUGUGAGCCUCCACCCCCAGCACGGCCUAAAUUUUUUGACACUCCUUUUCUUUUAAUAGCUUUUGGCCAGAACAUGCUUACUAGCAACACCUCUUCCCAACCCCUCAUGAAUAAUCAUGUAAGAUUUCCAUAAAGGGAGCCUCCCUAGUGCCAACUUUUGCUGUCUCAUCUUUAUGAGCAGCCUGCCCUGAAUUCUUCUCUCUGCCUAUUCUGCACUUCACUUUCAAGAUGUUCUUUUUCUUUUGCAAAAAUUAUUGUAUGCUGCAUCUCCUUUGCUGUUGUGUCUCUUGUUUAAAUUAUUUUAAGCUAAGAAGACAAGAACCAAAGUCUCACAUCAGCUGCCAACAGUACUCCAGAUUAUUUCAGGUGGUGUGGGUGUCAAGGCAAUUCCAUCUUGGGGCCUGAUCUACCAGGUUGAUGAAUGCCAGUUCUCGGAGGGCCUCUGAGAUUUCCCAUUCAUGUCGUGUUUCUAGUGCGGGAGCACCUACUUCCCAUAAAUCCUGCCCUUAGGACAAAACAACUUUGAUGUUAUCAUAUUUCAAUUGUCCUACACAUCCCUUUGAGGUCACCCCUCCCCUGUGGCCCUUGGUCUUGGGGGGUAAAGCUACCAUCUUGUCUCACUGCCACCUGAGACCCAGACAUAGCUUCUGUUUGUAAGUCUCUAUUAAAUGUUUUUUUCUAAGAAACUGGAUAUGUCAGCAAUUCUCCUGCCUCAGCCUCCUGCAGUGGCUCACGUCUUUAUAGGAGGCCGAGGUGGGUUGAUUGCUGGAACCCAGGACUUUGAGACCAGCCUGGACAACAUGGCAAGACACUGUCUCUACCAAAAAAUGUAAAAAUUAGCUGGGCAUGGUGGCAUAUGCCUGUAGUCCCAGCUACUUGGGAGGCUGAGGUGGGAGGAUUGCUUGAACCCAGGAGGUCGAGGCUGCAGUAAGCUGAGGUUGUGUCACUCUACUCCAGCCUGGGCAGCAGAGUGAGACCCUGCCAAAACAAAACAAAACAACAACCAAAAAACCCCACAUACUCCUGAAAAGCAGUCUAGGCCACCAGGAGGCUUGCUGUCUUGUCAUUUCAACAUACAUGUCCACUUCAGUUGAUGCAUUACUGUGGGAACAGCAAGACGAGCUGGCGAUUCCACACACUCCCCUUGUUCAGCAAGCAAACAGUGCACAGCUAUGCGGUUAUCUAAAACUACUCCAGGCUGGGCAUGGUGGCUCACGCCUGUAAUCCCAGCACUUUGGGAGGCUGAGGUGGGCGGAUCACUUGAGGCCAGGAGUCCCAGACCAGCCUCGCCAAUAUAGUGAAACCCCAUCUCUACUAAAAAUACAAAAAUUAGCAGGGUAUUUAUGGUGGUACACGCCUGUAAUCCCAGCUACAUGGGAGGCUGAGGCAGCAGAAUCGCUCGAACCCGGGAGGCAGAGGUGGCAGUGAGCCGAGAUUGCACCACUGUACUCCAGCCUGGGUGACUAAGCGAGACUCUGUCUCGAUAAUAAUAAUAAUAAUAAUAAUAAUAAUAAUAAUAAAACUACUCCAGCUAAGGAGUCUAGGGACUUGCUGGGCAGCCAUAGCAGCCGCCAUUUAGCUUGCUUUGAUCCAUAGGGCAGCCCUCAGGAGCACAGGUCUGUGUCUUGGGUAGCAGUAGUCACUAAGGCUGUCCUUUCUAACUAGGAAUCAGUUAGGUUAUUACUACAUCCAGGCAAAGUCACACCUGCCCGAAAGACUUCCUGACUCAUUAAGGCCUGCCCAUCAGAUGGAGUGCUCUCUGGCUCACCAUCAAGGGAAAAGAGGAGCUCGCCUUCUUUUAGCAAGGGACAGAUUGGCUUCGGUGACACAUCCAACAGUGGAUGAGUUGGCGGAUGAAGCAAGAGCUUGUGAAAUACUAAGCAGUGAGCUGUCCUUCCAUCCAGAGGCAAGAAGGCGCUGGAGAACAGUAACAGCCAGAAAAGCACAUAGAGUCUCACUCUGUUGCCCAUGCUAGAGUGCAGUGGCCCAAUCUCAAUUUACUGCAAGCUCCGCUUCCCGAGUUCAAGUGAUUCUCCUGCCUCAGCCUCCCGAGUAGCUGGGACCACAGGCACCCACCACCACACUCGGCUAAUUUUUAUUAUUUUUAGUAGAGAUGGAGUUUCACCAUGCUGGUCAGGCUGGUCUCAAACUCCUGACCUCAAGUGAUCCACCCGCCUCGGUCCCCCAAAGUGUUGGGAUUACAGGUGUGACCCACUGCUCCCAGCCACAAAUAUUUUAAUAAAUUCCAAAAUCUUAUUUUUAACCAUUA